GUUUGCUAAUUCAUCGGAUUGUUUUCUGUACUUGCGGAUUAAAAUUUGGUCUGCAAAAGACUACUUUACCGGUUUUUUUUGCGUACCUUUUUGUUUUGUAAAAUGCGUUAUAAUUGUGAUAGUAUUAUAAUAUUUGUUGCAUUAUGUGUUGGAAUAGGCACCCGUGCAAUUGUGUCGUUGAGCUCGUAUUCGGGAGCGUCGACACCACCUAUGUUUGGAGAUUAUGAAGCGCAGAGACAUUGGCAGGAAAUAACAUAUAAUCUUCCACCUAAUCAGUGGUAUUUAAACAGUACUGAUAACGAUCUACUUUAUUGGGGUAUUGAUUACCCUCCUUUGACUGCAUAUCAUAGUUUAUUUGUUGGAAUAAUUGCAAAUAGAAUUAAUUCAAGUUACGUUCGGUUAUUUGAUUCCCGUGGGCUUGAAUCUGUUGAACAUAAAAGCUUUAUGCGUCUUACAGUACUUGUGGCAGAUUUCUUUAUAUAUAUUCCGGCUUGUGUUAUCGUUUUGACAUCUUUAAAUUCAUAUAUAUCUUCAGAAAAUUUAUUGCCGACUUUUGUGUUAUUAGUUUUAUACCCCGGUCAAGUGCUAAUAGACAAUGGACACUUCCAAUACAAUAAUAUAUCUCUCGGAUUAUUUAUGUAUUCAGUUGCAUGCAUAAUUCAAAAUCGACAUAACUGGGCAAGCUUUUUUUUUACCUUAUCCAUAAAUUACAAACAAAUGGAAUUGUAUCAUGCUUUGCCCAUUUUUGUUUAUCUCCUUAAGUCAUCGUUUUCCCAAAAAUCCUUUUUAAAAAACAUCAUUAAUCUAUUUCAAGUUGGAUUUAUUACAUUAUCAACUUUUCUAUUACUUUGGAUGCCAUGGAUUUGUUCACUUAACUCUUUGACAUCUACUGUCCUUCGACUUUUUCCAUUAAAUAGAGGAGUAUUUGAAGACAAGGUUGCUAAUGUGUGGUGUUCAUUAAAUGCUCUAUAUAAAUUAAAAGACAAUUUGGAAAAUGGUCAAAUGGCAUUCAUUUGUUUGGUAUCUACUUUAUUAGCUAUAUUACCCGCAAAUUUGCAUCUUUUCACCGAUUUAAAAAAGAAAAAUUUCUUAUAUACUUUAGUCAACACGUCUUUAUCGUUUUUUUUACUAUCGUUCCAAAGAUGAUGUAGCACAACCGUUAAUGACAUGCUGGGAAGCAACAAACCUAGAAGAGAGGAAGAUUGGAUGACGGACGAAAUACGAGAGCUACGAAAGAAAUAAACACAGGGGCAAUUCCAUGAAAAGUGGAGCUGGUUCCAGUGAAACCUUUUAGAACCUAAUCAGGAUACUCUUCAAACAAACUUCGGGGCUAAACAUUUGUCACAUUAAUGCUCAAAGUCUUAACAAUAAAGUAGAUGAAUUUCGUUACAUCUUUGAAAAUUCUAAAAUCGAUAUUAUUUGCGUUUCGGAAACCUGGUUUCAUGCUAAUAUUCACGAUAGCGUCUAUAAACUAAAUGGAUAUCGCAUAUUUCGCUCGGAUAGAUUAUCUCGUGGUGGUGGAGUAGCAAUAUAUGUUAGACUACCAAUAUGCUGUAAACUUAAGUGUAAGAAUACUGAAAAUAGCACCUUGAAAAUUGAAUACAUAUUCCUAGAAAUAUAUAACAAUGACAGAAAAAUGUUACUUGGCACAGUUUAUAGACCUCAUAAGAGAGUUGAUAUAGAACCCUUGAUAAAUCAUCUAUCCUCUCUUACACUUGGAUUUACUGAUGUUGUUCUAACAGGAGAUUUUAACGCUAAUAUUCUGCUAGAUAAAAAUCUGAUGAAUGAAAUGAAUGCAUUGGUUUAUACCUUAUAAACCAAAUAACACCUACACAUUUUACUCCCACUUCAAGUACUCUGCUUGACCUUUUUUAUUGAAAAUAUGUCAAAAAAUCUCUUGUUUGACCAGUUGUCCGCAUCACUCUUCUCAAGACAUGACCUGAUUUUACUAUCAUAUGAUUUUAAGAUAACUUCUGAAGAACAAAAAAUAACAUUUAGAGAUUUUAAUAAUAUCGAUUUACGACAAUUGGAAGGUGAUCUUAUUAACACGCCUUGGGAUCUCAUCUUUUAUAUGCCAACUGUAGAUGAGUAAGCUACUUUUUUAUAUAACAACAUUCAAAACUUGUAUCAAAAUUAUGUCUUAAUCAAAACAAAAAAUAUACGUCCUAAGGAAAAACCUUGGUUCUCAACCGAAAUCAAACAUUAAUUAAUGAGAGAAACAUAGCAUAUGGGCGCUGGAAAAGAUUCAAAACUACAGAACUUGAACAACUAUUCAAAAGCUGCAGAAGAAAAGUGAAUUCUAAGAUUAGAAUAGCAAAAUAGAAUUUUUUCGAGGAAAAAUUUAAAUCAGCUGUAACUUCGAAAAGUAAAUGGAAAGAAAUUAAAGACAUGGGUGUUAUUAAUAAUAACAUAAGUUGUAAAGCAUGCCAAAAACCUCGGAGUCAUAUUUAAUGAAAAACUUAACUGGGUUGAUCAUAUUAAUAUAGUUUGUGGUAGAACGUAUGUCAUGAUGAGAAACCUAUGGAAGACUCAAUAUUUUACACCACUUAAUAUACGUAUGCUUCUAGCAAAAACAUAUUUAAUACCCGCGCUCACUUAUGGAUGUGAACUGUUUGUAGGUCUAGACUCUACAACCACGAUCGGCAACUCCUAUACACAGUGUU